rnacentral:rRNA from 1 species
AUUGAACGCUGUCGGCAGGCCUAACACCUGCAAGUCGAGCGGAGCGGCGGACGGGUGAGUAAUGCCUAGGAAUCUGCCUGGUAGUGGGGGAUAACGUCCGGAAACGGGCGCUAAUACCGCAUACUAUCAGAUGAGCCUAGGUCGGAUUAGCUAGUUGGUGGGGUAAAGGCCUACCAAGGCGACGAUCCGUAACUGGUCUGAGAGGAUGAUCAGUCACACUGGAAGUAGUACACGGUGCAGACACCGACGGGAUGCAGCAGUGGGGAAUAUUGGGCAAUGGGCGAAAGCCUGAGCCAGCCAUGCGGCGUGUGUGAAGAAGGUCUUCGGAUUGGAAAGCACUUUAAGUUGGGAGGCGGAACCAUCAGAAUAAGCACCGGCUAACUUCGUGCCAGCAGCCGCGGUAAUUC